rnacentral:rRNA from 1 species
GACGAACGCUGGCGGCGUGCCUAAUACAUGCAAGUUGAGCGCUGAAGGUUGGUACUUGUACCAACUGGAUGAGCAGCGAACGGGUGAGUAACGCGUGGGGAAUCUGCCUUUGAGCGGGGGACAACAUUUGGAAACGAAUGCUAAUACCGCAUAAAAACUUUAAACACAAGUUUUAAGUUUGAAAGAUGCAAUUGCAUCACUCAAAGAUGAUCCCGCGUUGUAUUAGCUAGUUGGUGAGGUAAAGGCUCACCAAGGCGAUGAUACAUAGCCGACCUGAGAGGGUGAUCGGCCACAUUGGGACUGAGACACGGCCCAAACUCCUACGGGAGGCAGCAGUAGGGAAUCUUCGGCAAUGGACGAAAGUCUGACCGAGCAACGCCGCGUGAGUGAAGAAGGUUUUCGGAUCGUAAAACUCUGUUGGUAGAGAAGAACGUUGGUGAGAGUGGAAAGCUCACCAAGUGACGGUAACUACACAGAAAGGGACGGCUAACUACGUG